GGUGACCUGCGGAGGGAUCAUUACCGAGUUUACAACUCCCAAACCCCUGUGAACAUACCACUUGUUGCCUCGGCGGAUCAGCCCGCUCCCGGUAAAACGGGACGGCCCGCCAGAGGACCCCUAAACUCUGUUUCUAUAUGUAACUUCUGAGUAAAACCAUAAAUAAAUCAAAACUUUCAACAACGGAUCUCUUGGUUCUGGCAUCGAUGAAGAACGCAGCAAAAUGCGAUAAGUAAUGUGAAUUGCAGAAUUCAGUGAAUCAUCGAAUCUUUGAACGCACAUUGCGCCCGCCAGUAUUCUGGCGGGCAUGCCUGUUCGAGCGUCAUUUCAACCCUCAAGCACAGCUUGGUGUUGGGACUCGCGUUAAUUCGCGUUCCCCAAAUUGAUUGGCGGUCACGUCGAGCUUCCAUAGCGUAGUAGUAAAACCCUCGUUACUGGUAAUCGUCGCGGCCACGCCGUUAAACCCCAACUUCUGAAUGUGACCUCGAUCAGGUAGAAUGCCC
rnacentral:rRNA from 1 species